rnacentral:lncRNA from 1 species
CUCUCUAAUAUAAUUAAACAUAAAUUAAAGUACCUAUUUAAAUAUAAUUUUGUUACAGGCAAAAAUAUAUAUUAUUAAAUAAAAUGGGAAAAAUAUAUAAAAAAAAAUUUGGGGACAUAAACCUAACCCAAAAAAUCGACAUAAAAGUGUAGGUUGACCCAAACGGGUAAUACAAAAAAUUAAAACAACACAAGUGGAAUUGCCUCUAUUUUAUCCUCAAACUAAACAAAGGUCUAAAGUUCCGUGAAUGGAUUGUCCGUAAACACAGAAGAAGGACCACGUACCAUCAACUCCUUACAACGAAUAACAUCAAGCUUAACGACUCUUUCGAGCUCCACAUUCCAACUCAAACAUAGUGAAUGAAAUCACAUUGAGUACAUAACCAUUUCUAGCCAUACAGUCUCAAUUCAAUCAUGAAGCAUUGAAACAAAUUAAAGCACAACCCCAAAUUAUUCAAAAGAAGUGUUGGAGUACAAAUUGGAUUUGAAACUGGAUCUGUAACACGAAACCGGAUCCGAUGGAUCUCACUCAAAAGGGUUUGAGAGAGCUAUGGUGAACCCAAAAGAACACCAUUUGUGCCGUUGACGGCGACCUUAGAACAACAAAACAGCUGCCACUGCCGAGGAACCCCCAAAACAUUAACCACAGGCAGUGACGGUGAUCUAGAACACUAGAUCGAGCUACUAUGACAACCAAACACCGUAAACCAAUAAGCUAACAUGACAAAUCAUGCAAAGUUAUGGCUAAAAAAUAAGCUAUGACAAACCGCAUGUCAAAUAUAUGCCUUAAAUUUUUUGACAGGUCAAACUUAGACCUUGCAAAACCUAUUUCCACUCGUAAUACCGGGCAUGGAGCCAAAUCUU